GAUGAACGCUAGCUACAGGCUUAACACAUGCAAGUCGCGGGGCAGCAUGGGGGUUGCUUGCAAUCCCCGAUGGCGACCGGCGCACGGGUGAGUAACGCGUAUCCAACCUGCCCUUCACCACGGGAUAACCCGGCGAAAGUCGGACUAAUACCGUAUGUUGUCCAUUGACGGCAUCCGAUUUGGACGAAAGGUUUGGCGGUGAAGGAUGGGGAUGCGUCCGAUUAGCUGGACGGCGGGGUGACGGCCCACCGUGGCGACGAUCGGUAGGGGUUCUGAGAGGAAGGUCCCCCACACUGGAACUGAGACACGGUCCAGACGCCUACGGGAGGCAGCAGUGAGGAAUAUUGGUCAAUGGGCGUAAGCCUGAACCAGCCAAGUAGCGUGCAGGAUGACGGCCCUAUGGGUUGUAAACUGCUUUUAUGCGGGGAUAAAGUGGCCCACGUGUGGGUUUUUGCAGGUACCGCAUGAAUAAGGACCGGCUAAUUCCGUG
rnacentral:rRNA from 1 species